GCGUCGCCACGGAUCGCAGUGUUUCAUUAAAGCUUCGGAUUGGGCUUUGUUCUGCUUUUUUUCCUACGGCCCAUCGAGACCUAAUCAGAAGCUUUCUUCGUGUUCUUCGUCCAUCUUAGAGCGGCGCUGAGACGGUCUCGAUGGGCGUCAUCAUUUGAUAGUUUGGAUGACUGAGAUCGAGAUGAAGAAUCUGUUCAUUUGUCUCCUCCCGCGUCGUUUGGUCUUCUCCUCUGCUCAAACGUAACGGCCGGGUUACAGAUUCAGCGCCAUCAUCGUCUUAUUAACUCCAUAGAAGGAGCUGUUGCACGAUCUUGACAUUGAUUGUGAGUUAUCCUUCUCCAAGGAGAUCUAUUCUUCACCGAUAAAAAGGUUUUGGGAAGCCAGUAAUGUCAGAGGUGGAGGGGAACUGAUGUCUCUUGAUAUACUCUUACUGGAUUCCAAGAUACAGCUGAAGAGAACACAAGGGACUGACAAAUACAAAAGACAGAAUUAUUUUAUCAUUCUUGAUAGGAAGCAAGCAAAUAGAGUUGUUGAUCUACUCGCUCUCCAUCUCUCGAGGCUAAGUUAGUUGCAUUCAGGUCGAGUUGUUCAUGGGAAUGUGAAAACAAAGAAUAUGCUUUGGUUUAUCAGAGGAAUCUAAAGAUCACAGAUUUUGGCUAGAGUUGAAGCUCAUAAUCCAAAAGAAAUGACUGGAGAAUGUGGAACUCUCGGAUACAUGGCUCCAUAGGUAACGAAGAAAACGUACUUAUUACGUUAAAAAUUGCAUCUUAGGGGUUCAAAAUAUGUUAUUUGGGUGUAAUAAUGGAACUUGUGGUUAGGUUCUUGAUGUUAAGCUUUAUAACAGUAAUUACAGAGAAACAGGGCACUAGCUCUACAAGAACAUACAACAGUAGCGAUUAUGGUCUUAAAUUGUGAAAACGUUGCAAGAAUAUUUGGACCAGCGAUUUUUGAAGCCUCAAAUUGAAAGUAUCAUUCUUAGGAGUUUACAGCUUCGUGAUGUGCUUGUGGGAUGUAUACUGAUGUCCUAUGCCUUACGCUGAUCUCAGUUUAGUUGGUGUUUCUUUUACUAUUGUCCGUCAGAUUUGUGACACUUGAUAAAAGAAAAAAUUGAAUGAAAGUGAAAUUUAGUU